rnacentral:rRNA from 1 species
UAAGCAUAUCAAUAAGCGGAGGAAAAGAAACCAACAGGGAUUGCCUCAGUAACGGCGAGUGAAGCGGCAAAAGCUCAAAUUUGAAAUCUGCCCCCAGGCCGAGUUGUAAUUUGUAGAGGAUGCCUUGGGCGCGGUGCCUUCCGAGUCCCCUGGAACGGGGCGCCAUAGAGGGUGAGAGCCCCGUACGGUAGGACGCCAAGCCUGUGUGAGGCUCCUUCGAAGAGUCGAGUAGUUUGGGAAUGCUGCUCUAAAGGGGAGGUAAAUUCCUUCUAAAGCUAAACACCUGCCAGAGACCGAUAGCGCACAAGUAGAGUGAUCGAAAGAUGAAAAGCACUUUGAAAAGAGAGUCAAAUAGCACGUGAAAUUGUUGAAAGGGAAGCGCCUGUGACCAGACUUGGGCCGGGUGGAUCACCCGCCGUUGCGGCGGUGCACUCGGCUCGGCCCAGGCUAGCAUCGGUUCCCGCGGGGGGAUAAAAGCCGCAGGAACGUGACUCCUCCGGGAGUGUUAUAGCCCGCGACAGAAUAUCCCCUUGGGGACCGAGGACCGCGCGUUGCGAGGAUGCUGGCGUAAUGGUCGUCGGCGACCCGUCUUGAAACACGGACCAAGGAGUGCUGGCGCCCUGCAAGUGUAUGGGUGUAAAACCCACACGCGCAAUGAAGGUGAACGCAGGUGAGAGCUUCGGCGCAUCACCGACCGAUCCUGAUGUUCUCGGAUGGAUUUGAGUAGGAGCAGGGCGCCUGCGACCCGAAAGAUGGUGAACUAUGCUUGGAUAGGGUGAAGCCAGAGGAAACUCUGGUGGAGGCUCGCAGCGGUUCUGACGUGCAAAUCGAUCGUCAAAUCUGAGCAUGGGGGCGAAAGAC